rnacentral:rRNA from 1 species
AGGAGCUUGCUCUCCGAUCAGUGGCGAACGGGUGAGUAACACGUGAGUAACCUGCCCCAGACUCUGGGAUAACAGUUGGAAACAGCUGCUAAUACCGGAUACGAGACGAGAGGCAUCUCUACCGUCUGGAAAGUUUUUCGGUCUGGGAUGGACUCGCGGCCUAUCAGCUUGUUGGUGAGGUAAUGGCUCACCAAGGCGACACGGGUAGCCGGCCUGANAGGGCGACCGGCCACACUGGGACUGAGACACGGCCCAGACUCCUACGGGAGGCAGCAGUGGGGAAUAUUGCACAAUGGGCGAAAGCCUGAUGCAGCGACGCCGCGUGAGGGAUGACGGCCUUCGGGUUGUAAACCUCUUUCAGCAGGGAAGAAGCGAAAGUGACGGUACCUGCAGAAGAAGCACCGGCUAACUACGUG